rnacentral:lncRNA from 1 species
UUGUUCCAAUUAUUCUGUUAUUUUAUUUAUGUUCAUGUCAAGAUCAUUAUUUUUAAUUGGAACAUGGAGCUUAACUUGAGAAACACGUGCCACCACAAGGCUGGAAUGGGCACCCUUGGCUGACUAACUAGUUAAGCUAGUGGAGAACUGUCACACCCGGGUUUUAGGGGUCCAAAACCCGGGCGCGAACAUAAUCACUAGGUGUGCUGGGACCAAGUCUCACACAUAUUAUGAAUCAUGGCACAGGAUCGAAUGUCACAACUUUACUAUAUAAUAGGAGUUCUAUACAAAAUAAACAAAUAAUUACAUUAUAAGGAGACAACGGUCCAGCAACCCAAAGUUGACUGGGAGACGACGGCCUAGACCUCUCACGAACACAUCACCGUAUCCUUCAUACGCCUCAUCCUGCGGUACCUGUUCUUGACCUGUGGGGGGUGUGAGACAGCAAGAGUGAGCUCACAUAUGUUCAUCGCUCAACAAGUUGUGGGGAAUAAUGUGCAUGAACUCGCCAAAGGUGGGAGCUCACGUGAAGUGUAAGGCUUACCAAAGAGGAUGGUUAGAGCUGAGCAUUGCUUUUAAAGUUGGUCAAAAUUUUAUUAGCAAUUACUAAGUAUAAGUAAAUACCAACCCAAUUAAGAAAAGCAAUAACAUCACUUGCGAUGCAAUGCAUAUGACAAAUUGAAUUUAGUUCCAUAAAUUAAUCAUGUGAGGGUCCGAGCUGCUCAUGACCGUGAGCACGGCUAGUAUACCAGUUUUACACUCUGCAGAGGUUGCGCAUCUUUACCCACAAGUCAUGUUACCCAUCUGCCAAGGGAUCACGACUUCCCAUACACCUCUACCGAGGAGGCGAGGCAGGGUAACACUAUGAGGCAUUUACAAAGUUCCACUAGCUUAAGAAAACCCGCUACAGUUUAUAGGAAGCUACAAUGCAGGGAUCCCUAGCAUGAUCGCCAUCGCAGCAAAAUCAUCCCAAGGACCUCCCUACACUGACCACUCCCCUACUGCCCUUGCCCCUUUCGGGUAAGGUAGUCUUCCACUAGCUUUCCUAAUUAAUCAGCCAAGGGCGUCCAUAAACCCUUGUGGUAGCACUGUUUUUACGGGUGGUCGCUCCAUGUUCCAAUUAACAUAAUGAUCUUAUCAUGAACAGUAAUAAUAAACAGAUAAUAAAAGUGUGAUCAUGAAUAAUGUAUCUUCAUACCCAAAACCACAUAAAGCACUAGCAAGUACUACCCAAAAAGUUCAGUGGUAAACAAGGUAUAAAGAUAGACAAACUAGGGUAACCUAUUGGGUCCCAUCAAAAUUAACCUAUGCAGAUCAUUAUGAUUAAUCAGAACAUGGCUGGGUAAAAAGAAGUGAUCAAGGGCACAACUUGCCUGGCACUUGAGAUUCCAGGUACCAACUUGCUCUUCAGAUGACACGUGUCCCCACUUCUAAACGUAGCAAUACAGACAAACAUGUACAGGCAAAAUUAACAUCACACCAAACAUAAGAUUAAACUGCGUAUUAAUAUUCUACACGUUGCUACGAGAUCGUAGAAACAAGAACCACUAAAUUCGGAGCUACGGUUAUUAAGUUAGGAAUUUAUGAAGUUAUUUAAUACCUAGAAUAGAGUUAUUCAUCUGAAUAAUUUUAAAUCAAGUUUCAUGGUUAGACAAAGGUACUAGGUAAUAAACAAUACUUAAACAAAAUUAAUGCCACUGGAAUGAAUCAAUUUGGAGCUAAAUUCAUCAAGUUAUGAAUUUCCUAAGUUUGGGACAUUAUUUUGCAUUAAAAAGAAUUUCUGUAUUAAAUUUAAUAGAUUUCUGAGUUACUUGGACUGCGGCCACUAUUUAACAGAAACCCAGGGGGUUCUGCGCAAACGACACCAAGACUCAGAACUCCCACAGUGGACGGCGGGUUGAAUAAUAGAAACCCGAAGGUUUAUUUAACAAUUUUACCAGGACGAAAGGGUAACUUCUGUUGUGAGCCAACUUAUCAAAUUUUAGUGGCUCAGAUUAGAUCGGCGUGAUUGCGAACCGGUACACGCCAUCAGCCGCGAGAUCGAGAUCCAAUGGUUCGGAUUUUAUGAGACUCAAACUAACCACAUCCGACCGAUACAAGAUCUACGGCACCCGCUCUACCCCUCUCAACACCCAUGCCUAACUGAAUCUGGACCGCCCGCGCAGAUCGAACGGUGCCCACGCAUCGUCUUCCACACCCGGCAGAGGACGGUGGCGCAGGCCCCCACGGCGGUGCCCAUGGCCGGCGUGCAGUGCCCUCGCGGCGCUGGUGCUCUCAACUUAACCCCGACAGGUGCUAAACGAUGCAGUGGAACAUGCGAGUUGAUUCGGAGAUUCCUUACCAUGAUUCGUGAAAUGCAGAGCCUUCGCCCCGGUGCACGGCGUGGUGUAGGUGAUGGCAAACUAUGAGGGACGUGAUCUACCGAAAAUGAAAACGAAAACAAGGCGAGGAGAGAUGGCAGUGCACUGUGGAUUCCACGGUGGCGGCCACCGGCGAGGUCUAACCCCGACGCUCCAAGCUUGGCUUCUAUCUUGAGUGGGCGCAAAACAAAGCCAAGGAUACAACGAACCAACUCAAGGUGACUCACCAGCGGUCGAUGCAAUUUAGCAGACUUCUCGUCGCCGUGCGGCUUGGCGGCAACAAUGAACUCCGGCAAGCCAUUCCCCCUGCUUGCUGUGGACUUUCCCGUGAUCAGGGUGAGACCACAUGCAGACUUAGUGCGACACAACUAUGUUUUGAACCAUCUGCGGCCGCUACGGUAAUGAUCUUUCCCAGCUCUCCUGCACGCUAGGCGACUGGGCACUCGACUUCCCGCACAACUAGCUUGGACAUGAUUGGAGCGAGGCAGCCGAUGUUUAUACUCAGCAGGGAGACGAGUCCGCGCCCUAUGGAGCUAUCUCGAGAUUGCGGCAGAGAUUGCGGAGAUUCAGUUGUAACGGACUUGAUUGGAGCUCGGACUCUGAAGAAGAAAUCAGCCAGAGUGCCCCAUAUGCUAGCGAUCAGGAGAAUACGAAUAAUCUGAUGCCAUCCCUUACCUCACAUGGCGGCAAGCAAAUAAACAAAACAAAAAGGGAUGUGGGCAUGGGCAUGGGCAUGGGUCGUGCGGUGAGGAUGUGAAGCCUAGGUGCGGUUCUUUUCCCUCUUUUUCCCUUUCUAUUUCAUUCUCUUUUCUUAAUUCCUUCUCUAUUUUUAAAUUAUAUAUAUAUUGACUUAAACUUAUCUCGUACAUUCGAAUACAAAUGCAACAUACAAGAAGUCUUUAGCAUGAGAUGCCUAUUUCUGUUUUUAUUUAUUUAUUUGACCAAUAUAAUUCCUUUGAUUGAAUAUGCACAAAAUCAAGUAAUCUCCAAUGGUUCCAUAAUCCUAAAACCUUACAUAAUAAUAUUUCUUAUUUAUUUAUUUUGUUAUUAUUAUUUUUUAUACAAAUUUUGGGCUUUACAAAUUCUACCCCCUUAACAGAAAUCUCGGCCCCGAGAUUUGUAAGAAAAUGAUAUAGGAAGAGUGGUUUGCAAUUUAGCUUUCAGUUUCUAAUUAUUUCAAAAAUCAAGAGCCUCUUUUUUUGAGUGAUUAGGAAAGCAUGGGUAUCCAUAUGUAUAGUCAUUUUAUUAUGUAGUACGAAAGAUGGGUUGGUUAGGGCAAGAAUAUUCUAGUGUAAGAAAGUUUAUGGUGAGAAAGAACUCCUUGUUGGGUGGUAAUGCAUCUGAAGAUCGAGUUUGACUUCUCUCCUUCCUUGACGAGUUUGAUCUUGUCCUUUUCCAGUCUUGCUCUUUGGUGUCUCCAUCCGGGUUUGGGACAAGAGGCUAAGAUAGAUCUGUUAUGUAGGUCAAGUUGUUGGGUAUGGCCGAGUUGAUCUAGGUCAUCAAUUUAAGCUUAAGUGGGUUUGGAGUAUGGCUUAAUCCGUUGUACCAGCAUUGAGUAACUUACUCUAGAUUAGAUCAUAAUAGAUUAGAUAGAAUCUAGAUUAGGUUGGUAUAACUAGAUUAGACUAGAUAAUAUCUAAUUACUUUGGAUUAGAUCAUGGUUGUUAUUCUAGAGUGGGAUAAAUAUGCUAAUUAGGGCAUGAUGAAUCCAUAAAGAUAAGGUAGAAUCUUUUGAGAUAAGAUGGAUCUAUGGGUGUAGAAUAUGAAUAUUUUAAGAUGAGAUGACUAUUGUUAGGCUAGAUACUUUAAUGAGGGAUAAUCUAGUUUAUCUAGUUAUUGUAUAAACACUAUCCUUUAUGCCUAGAUAUCUAUGCAGAUGUAAUUGUGGAUAUUACUCCACAACUCAUCACACUCAAUCAAAGAUCCAAAUCAGAAAAAUAUCAUAAGAACAAACACUCAAGCGCAUAGAUACCUAUAAAAAUAGUUUUAUUUUUUUGUUCCUAAGAGUAGGUCUCCUAUUCCUAAAAGUCACUUUAGGCAGAAGAUUUCAAAGUGUGAAAUCCUCAUUUGUCUUUUAGAAAGAAAAGAUAAGAAUAAUCAGAGUAAAGCAGAAAUAGAUGAGAAUAGAUUAAGAAAAGUUUAGAAAGAACCAGAGUAGCACAGGUAAGUAAAUAUUGGUUGUCCAGUUUUAUCUAGGUUGCGUCCUACAGUCAACAUUGCUCUGAUACCACUUCUGUCACACCCGGGUUUUAGGGCUCCAAAACUCGGGCGCGAACAUAAUCACCAGGUGUGCUAGGACCAAGUCUCACACAUAUGAUGAAUCAUGGCACAGGAUCGAAUGUCACAACUUUACUAUAUAAUAGGAGUUCUAUACAAAAUAAAUAAAUAAUUACAUUAUAAGGAGACAACGGUCCAGCAACCCAAAGUUGACUGGGAGACGACGACCUAGACCUCUCACGAACACAUCGUCGUAUCCUUCAUACGCCUCAUCCUGCGGUACCUGUUCUUGACCUAUGGGGGGUGUGAGACAGCAAGAGUGAGCUCACAUACGUUCAUCGCUCAACAAGUUGUGGGGAAUAAUGUGCAUGAACUCGCCAAAGGUGGGAGCUCACGUGAAGUGUAAGGCUUACCAAAGAGGAUGGUUAGAGCUGAGCAUUGCUUUUAAAGUUGGUCAAAAUUUUAUUAGCAAUUACUAAGUAUAAGUAAAUACCAACCCAAUUAAGAAAAGUAAUAACAUCACCUGCGAUGCAAUGCAUAUGACAAAUUGAAUUUGGUUCCAUAAAUUAAUCAUGUGAGGGUCUGAGCUGCUCAUGACCGUGAGCACGGCUAGUAUACCAGUUUUACACUCUGCAGAGGUUGCGCAUCUUUACCCACAAGUCAUGUUACCCAUCUGCCAAGGGAUCGCGACUUCCCAUACACCUCUACCGAGGAGGCAAGGCAGGGUAACACUACGAGGCCUUUACAAAGUUCCACUAGCUUCAGAAAACCCGCUACAGUUUAUAGGAAGCUCCAAUGCAGGGAUCCCUCGCAUGAUCGCCAUCGCAGCAAAAUCAUCCCAAGGACCUCCCUACACUGACCACUCCCCUACUGCCCUUGCCCCUUUCGGGUAAGGUAGUCUUCCACUAGCUUUCCUAAUUAAUCAGCCAAGGGCGUCCAUAAACCCUUGUGGUAGCACUGUUUUCCCGGGUGGUCGCUCCAUGUUCCAAUUAACAUAAUGAUCUUAUCAUGAACAAUAAUAAUAAACAGAUAAUAAAAGUGUGAUCAUGAAUAAUGUAUCUUCAUAUCCAAAACCACAUAAAACACUAGCAAGUACUACCCAAAAAGUUCAGUGGUAAACAAGGUAUAAAGAUAGACAAACUAGGGUAACCUAUUGGGUCCCAUCAAAAUUAACCUAUGCAGAUCAUUAUGAUUAAUCAGAACAUGGCUGGGUAAAAAGAAGUGAUCAAGGGCACAACUUGCCUGGCACUUGAGAUUCCAGGUACCAACUUGCUCUUCAGAUGACACGUGUCCUCACUGCUAAACAUAGCAAUACAGACAAACAUGUACAGGCGAAAUUAACAUCACACCAAACAUAAGAUUAAACUGCGUAUUAAUAUUCUACGCGUUGCUACGAGAUCGUAGAAACAAGAACCACUAAAUUCGGAGCUACAGUUAUUAAGUUAGGAAUUUAUGAAGUUAUUUAAUACCUAGAAUAGAGUUAUUCAUGUGAAUAAUUUUAAAUCAAGUUUCAUGGUUAGACAAAGGUACUAGGUAAUAAACAAUACUUAAACAAAAUUAAUGCCACUAGAAUGAAUCAAUUUGGAGCUAAAUUCAUCAAGUUAUGAAUUUCCUAAGUUUGGGACAUUAUUUUGCAUUAAAAAGAAUUUCUGUAUUAAAUUUAAUAGAUUUCUGAGUUACUUGGACUGUGGCCACUAUUUAACAGAAACCCAGGGGGUUCUGCGCAAACGACACCAAGACUCAGAACUCCCACAGUGGACGGCGGGUUGAAUAAUAGAAACCCGAAGGUUUAUUUAACAAUUUUACCAGGACGAAAGGGUAACUUCUGUUGUGAGCCAACCGAUCAAAUUUUAGUGGCUGAGAUUAGAUCGGCGUGAUUGCGAACCGGUACACGCCAUCAGCCGCGAGAUCAAGAUCCAAUGGUUCGGAUUUUAUGAGACUCAAACUAACCACAUCCGACCGAUACAAGAUCUACGGCACCCGCUCUACCCCUCUCAACACCCAUGCCUAACUGAAUCUGGACCGCCCGUGCAGAUCGGACGGUGUCCACGCAUCGUCUUCCACACCCAGCAGAGGACGGCGGCGCAGGCCCCCACGGCGGUGCCCAUGGCCGGCGUGCAGUGCCCUCGCGGCGCUGGUGCUCUCAACUUAACCCCGACAGGUGCUAAACGAUGCAGUGGAACAGGCGAGUUGAUUAGGAGAUUCCUUACCAUGAUUCGUGAAAUGCAGAGCCUUCGCCCCGGUGCACGGCGUGGUGUAGGUGAUGGCAAACUAUGAGGGACGCGAUCUACCGAAAAUGAAAACGAAAACAAGGCGAGGAGAGAUGGCAGUGCACUGUGGAUUCCACGGUGGCGGCCACCGGCGAGGUCUGACCCCGACGCUCCAAGCUUGGCUUCUAUCUUGAGUGGGCGCAAAACAAAGCCCAGGAUACAACGAACCAACUCAAGGUGACUCACCAGCGGUCGAUGCAAUUUAGCAGACUUCUCGUCGCCGUGCGGCUUGGUGGCAACAAUGAAUUCCGGUAAGCCAUUCCCCUGCUUGUUGUGGACUUUCCCGUGAUCAGGGUGAGACCACAUGCAGACUUAGUGCGACACAACUAUGUUUUGAACCAUCUGCAGCCGCUACGGUAAUGAUCUUUCCCAGCUCUCCUGCACGCUAGGCGACUGGGCACUCGACUUCCCGCACAACUGGCUUGGACAUGAUUGGAGCGAGGCAGCCGAUGUUUAUACUCAGCAGGGAGACGAGUCCGCGCCCUGUGGAGCUAUCUCGAGAUUGCGGCAGAGAUUGCGGAGAUUCAGUUGUAACGGACUUGAUUGGAGCUCGGACU